AAAAAAUUUAAGGUGUGUUGCUUUGAACAAACAUGACAGGCUUGGAAAUCGAAAUUUUUUCCAGCAAUAAAAGCUUUCAAAGCAGAAAAAAAGGGGCGCGAUUCAUGGAGAAGAUGAUGAUAAUAAAAACAGAGUACACGAGAGACAGAUAUACACAAAGCAAAGUCAAAGAGAAAAAUCUUUUGGGGAGAAUAUUUAACAAAUAAUGAAACCAGAAG
rnacentral:misc_RNA from 1 species